AUUGAACGCUGGCGGCAGGCCUAACACAUGCAAGUCGAGCGGAUGAAGGGAGCUUGCUUCUGGAUUCAGCGGCGGACGGGUGAGUAAUGCCUAGGAAUCUGCCUGGUAGUGGGGGAUAACGUCCGGAAACGGGCGCUAAUACCGCAUACGUCCUGAGGGAGAAAGUGGGGGAUCUUCGGACCUCACGCCAUCAGAUGAGCCUAGGUCGGAUUAGCAAGUUGGUGGGGUAAAGGCCUACCAAGGCGACGAUCCGUAACUGGUCUGAGAGGAUGAUCAGUCAAACUGGAACUGAGACACGGUCCAGACUCCUACGGGAGGCAGCAGUGGGGAAUAUUGGACAAUGGGCGAAAGCCUGAUCCAGCCAUGCCGCGUGUGUGAAGAAGGUCUUCGGAUUGUAAAGCACUUUAAGUUGGGAGGAAGGGCAGUAAGUUAAUACCUUGCUGUUUUGACGGUACCAACAGAGUAAGCACCGGCUAACUUCGUG
rnacentral:rRNA from 1 species